UACGUAGGGUGCGAGCGUUAAUCGGAAUUACUGGGCGUAAAGCGUGCGCAGGCGGUUCGUUGUGUCCGAUGUGAAAGCCCCAAGCUUAACUUGGGAAUGGCAUUGGGAACUGGCGGGCUGGAGUGUGGCAGAGGGGGGUGGAAUUCCACGUGUAGCAGUGAAAUGCGUAGAGAUGUGGAGGAACACCGAUGGCGAAGGCAGCCCCCUGGGCCAACACUGACGCUCAGGCACGAAAGCGUGGGGAGCAAACAGG
rnacentral:rRNA from 1 species